AUGAUGAUACAAGCUAAAAGUUUAUGGUUUUCUACUGAAUAACCAUGAGGAAAAUAUUCUAGGGCGGUCUGAUACA
rfam:Cerapachys biroi unplaced genomic scaffold scaffold501, whole genome shotgun sequence.